ACCUUUGUCAAUCCUACAUGUUCACACAAACAAAGUAACCACCUUUAUCUCUAGCCUAGGUGUCUUAAAAUUAUGUGUAAUGUUGGAGCGCUUUGGUUCGGAUAUAGAUAGUUGAUAUAUAUAUGUUCUUCAUUCAUUGUAGUUUUGGGUUUGUAUGAUAACUGUCUCCUUACGAGCAAUGAAGUUCAUAUUGUAUAUGUCCCAAUCGGUUUUCGGAUUUACACGUACCCUAAAAAUAUCCUAUCAAUUGGGAUUUUAUCUCGUUUGAUAGGUUCGGGUUCGAUGGAUAACCUUGAUUUUUGGGUUUAACCAUGCACUAAAAAUACUCCAUCAGUUUGGAUUUUACUAUGUUUCCCCGGUUCAAAUACGACGAGUAACCAUAAUAAAUGUUAUUAUUAUGAUCCCUACUAGUAUCUGAUAGAACAGGUCAAGAAUGAGCCAAUCGAAGUGGUUUAGGUCUUUAAGUAGGACCCAUCCAAGCAACCUAGGUCCAAAUUGGGAACAGUUGAUGUUGGUUUUUACUCAGAAGUGUGAUGUGAUGUUGGUGAAAUAGUUGUCAAAAACAUGGAACCAAAAAAGGAGAUGAAGGAGUCUUCUCAUGUAACAUACCCAAAAGGUAGUUAAAAAUGACAAAACAUGACUAUUGUACUGUGAUCUUGGUCAUAGGACCACUAGGACCAAAAGACAAAAGAAAAAAAGUUUUUUUUUGGAACCGUAUCGGAGAUUGAAUCAGUGAGAUUACCGAUAUUAUACUAUACCGCAAAAAAAGAUAUAAUUCUAAAUUUCUAACCUUCCAAUGUAGAGGACUUCAUGCCAA
rnacentral:lncRNA from 1 species